ensembl:scaRNA
GUGACUGGUCCUGGUAUUGAUUGCAUUUGUUACUUGUACAAUGCAACCAUAGACAGUCACACACAUCAGGUGGUUUCUGCUGACAGCAAAUGUGUAGUUAUCAGGUUUUCUGUGUGAUGGCUCUAUACAUU